GCAGUGACCGGCAUGAUCGUCUUUGGAAACGGCCGUCGGUGACCUACAGUCACGUAGCCAGACACGGGUUCGCGUGCACACUGGUGGGUCACCGAAGCGCCAACGCGUUUCGAUGCUGCUCGCGAGGUCCGAACCGAGCGACAGCGUGGACGCUGGAAAUGCGAUACGUGGUGCUAAAACAGAUCACUUGGGUAACCUGCCUGACCCGGGUGACUUUGGAAGACACCCGCCCGCACGAUCUGUCCCGAAUAGCACAGACUAGCGUCACCGACUGGCUUCGUGAGGCGUCCGGCGCGCAGUUGCCGGCGCACCGCUCGUGCCUGGAGAAGCGCGCUGCUGGUGCGGGCACGCGUACCGGUCUGAGGGCUGCUGUCGAGGUGUUCCAUAUGGCCUGCUCGCGAGAUGAGAGAAAAAAUAAUGAGGUGCGAAGCGAGCUCAUGCGGGGCGAAUCCUGCAACCCCGCGAAAUCUGGCGGAUAAGGGCACGUCAUCCGUUCAGGACUGAGGUGCUUGUUUUGGAACGCUGACCUUUCUAGAGAGCGAGCUACACGAGUAUUCACGAAUUGCAGCGCGGGUGUUCGCUCAUUCUUUUCCGACUCGGUCAAUAUCCAUAGGAAACCUUUAUAACUUUCCGUGUGCACUGGUAUGAGAACGUUUAGGCUGCGUGCGCCUGCUGCGACGGAGUCACACGACAUCGAGUCAUAGACAACGGCCGCGCCCGAGUCUUUACGAGCAACCCGGUGUAUGCGUGCUUGGAUAGCGACUUUACUGUAAAUGGCUGAGCACGGGCGUUGGUCCUUACCGCACGGCGACGCGCACGAACGCGUCAGCGUGAACGGUCUGAGCAUCUGCUCGUGCACUAGCAAGGUUUGCGUACGGUAACUUGUAGAGCGUGCUAGGCAUAUGCUUGCCGCCACGUACGGCAACCGCUUUGCACGAUGUAGCGCAUGGAGAACGUAUCGUGCCGAGGAAAGCGUGCCGUUGUUCAUACACUGGGCGGUGGAUCUCGUGGCAGGAACGAGCUUGGGUUCUCGUGCCAUGCUAUUCCUGGGGUUUUUACGAAUGGGACGACGGAAAUUCGUCGGGUCGGUUUCUGGAAGCCGCAGGUGUCUAGCUUCGCUUUGCGAGGAGCGCGCUCCGAGACAGGCCGACGCGAAAACCCCCUGCUGCCAUUCGUGAUUGGACAACCGCCGCGGGGGUAUUUUGAGCGUCCGUUGAUUUGCUAGAAAGCGGUGCCAUGGCUUUGGUGCCCAGUCGCUGGCCGAUAUGUCGUGUCGCUGUCGAGGGUUUCGCCGCCUCAGUGCCGGUGCGACUAUUUGGCGCUGCCCGAGCCCGGCGAGUGGUGGUCGCCUGACGACUGCGCGCACCGCGUUUUGCUUUGGAGGUCUUCUCGAGCUCGCUUCCAAAGCUGGACGCAUCCGACUCUGAAGAGAACGAUUCACUGGAUGAGUCCGUAUAGACUGUAUCCGUUUGAUCGAUCUCGUCGACUUGGUCUACUUCAUCCACUUCGUCAAGCUCAGCUUCCUCUAACUCUGACUCGGACAGUUCCUUGUACGCCUUUCGACGAUGCCCAGUGAGACGCGCCGAGGCCCGCCCGCGAGACUUGCGCGUCGACGGGGGCGACCUGGACUUGUUGUCAACGGACGUUCCGGCCUCCUUGCCCGAUGAGGCGCGUCUCGUGGCGCGCUUCGGUCUUUCUACUGAAGAUUGACCGGACGGGCGGCAUGGAGAAGCACCAGGAUUGCGUGCAUCUUCGUCUGACGCGUCCUCGCUGAAAACCGUUGCAGUCGUGAUACUAUGGUAAGGCGGCGAAGGCGCUGGGGCCGCCUCCGCCUCCGCCUCCGCCUCCCCUGUUGGCUGUUCAACGGUGGUGCUCGGUGGACUCGAUUCGAAAUCAGAGUCUCCAUCCUCGUUGUGACAAGAAUCAGCCGCAGUGCUGCUAGAACGCAUGAAAACUAAAGAAACGUAUGAGCGG
rnacentral:misc_RNA from 1 species